UACGAAGGGUGCUAGCGUUGUUCGGAAUCACUGGGCGUAAAGCGCGCGUAGGCGGCCAAUCAAGUCAGGGGUGAAAUGCCGGAGCUUAACUUCGGAACUGCCUUUGAAACUGAUUGGCUGGAAGAUGAGAGGGGAUAGCGGAAUUUCUGGUGUAGAGGUGAAAUUCGUAGAUACCAGAAGGAACACAGGUGGCGAAGGCGGCUAUCUGGCUCAUUCUUGACGCUCUGGCGCGAAAGCGUGGGGAUCAAACAGG
rnacentral:rRNA from 1 species